AUGAAACAGGCUGCGAGCACAAGGACGUGGAUUAACAGACAGAGAGACAGAGAGAAGGAAUGGAUUGAAGGAAGGGAGAGGAAGGCGGCAUGCUUACGUGGCGGAGGAGGGGCCGAGGAGCGGGUUCUGGCGGAGGGGCUGGAAGGAGAAGCGGUGGAGGAAGCGGGCGACGCACUGGCCGUCGUCGCGGCCGGGCCUGGCGUUGUGGGCGGGGCAGUUGUUGUAGUACAUGGCGAUGGUGAAGACGGUGAUGUUGGCGACGAGGAUGGAGGGCACCAGCCAGGGCGUCCACUCCCGCUCCCCCUCGUGCUGCGGGUACAGCGGCGCCGGCACCUUCCCGGGCUCCUGCUUCGCCUUCCUCGGCGACGACGACGCGCCCUUCUCCACGUCCGCCCGCGACGUCGCCAUUGCUUGGUGCUAAAGGACCGAGCUGCCUGCUCUUGGCGUUGGUUGUUGCUGAGUUUCUCUUGUCGUGUGGAGGCGGAGGCUGGGAUUCAGAGGUGGUGGCGGUGGAGUGACGAGGACGGGGAGAGGAGUGGUAAGGAAUAA
rnacentral:rRNA from 1 species